CCUGGCUCUCCUGCCUAGUUUCCUACUGCUCUUUUUCACCUAGUCUAGCUACCUGGUUUCUUGUGCUCAUAUCUAUCUUUUGGGGCCCUGAUAGAGUUUUUGGUGUCUGUUUGGAUUGUGGAAGGAGUCUGCUGACUAGUGUGAUUUUUAAAUUUCCUCCAUCUUGCUUGGUCUGGCACCCAAGAAUGUGCACACCCACACUACACGGGCAUGUGCUGCCCCCCUGGGCUGUCCUAAGCCAAGCUUGAGCCACCAUUGGCAUGUGUGAGGCACAGGAAGUGAGGCAGAGAACAGCCUCUGGAGUUCGAUCACUUCCUGUGGACAGGGCUACACGCCAGUGGGAUCCUGGAGCUCGAGCUGGGAGGAGGCCUGCAGACAGCUUUCCUUCAGAUCGGAUGUGAUUGCCAACAAGCAAUUCCACUGGGUCAAACCAGUCUUCAGUGCUCCCUGGAUGGCGUGUCCUUACGUUAUCGAUCGAGGGAAUGCAGUUUCCGAGUCGCCCACCAGGUGGUGCUAUGUACGAGUCUCCGGGCAAGUAGUCUUGCUUGCGGCUCCCGGGCCAGCUCGAGUAAGUUAAAAAUUCCCCUACCAGCAGGGGCGCCCUCAUCCGCUGGACAAGUUAAAAUGCCCCCUUGGCUGGCUUCGGAUUUAGACGAAAGGAUGUUUGUUGAAAUCCUUUGGAAAAGAAUAGAAAAUGCCGGACUUCAUUCAUCCCCCGUCUGGAGCCUCCCCUUUUCGUGAUCGCCGUAGUCCCAGGGCAUAGGCAGUCCCCACGGGGUGGCCACCGAUUUAACAAAAAUGGAGAGAAUUGUUGAGCAUUCUUAUGGAAAAGCCACCACCUCACCUCCAGCCACGCCGAUCUCAGACCGGUGUCAGAGCAGCCAGCCCCUUCCCGUCAGCCCCUUCGGUCUUGCUUUCUAGGGACCGAUGAGAAUCACUGCCUUGGAGCGAGCCUCACAGCAUCUUAGUUAAUGACAGGUAAAGUUUCAGUCACCCCCAACCUUAUGGACAUGCCCCCGAACCCCCAAAUCUAAAACUACAGAAGGGCAAAAGAGGAGGGAACGAAGGGAUGAAUUCAGGACUCAUGUCUGUAAAUCUGGCUCCUUCUCGGGCUUCUUUGUGCCUGAACAAAUCCCUGAGGCUCAGUAGGGGGAAAGAGCCUAGGAGCAUCAGAAAUGCUUCCCUAGUUCUCCGUCCUUACAUUAUCCACUCUGUCUCUUGGUAACCUCAUCAACUUCCGCUGAACUCCAUAUUGCUGCCAAAAUAAAUUUCCUUACCUGUAGAUCUAGUAUGUGACU
rnacentral:lncRNA from 1 species